rnacentral:rRNA from 1 species
GUGGGGAAUAUUGCGCAAUGGGGGAAACCCUGACGCAGCGACGCCGCGUGGGUGAGGAAGGUUUUCGGAUCGUAAAGCCCUGUCAAGUGGGAAGAAGAAAGUGACGGUACCACUAAAGGAAGCACCGGCUAACUCCGUGCCAGCAGCCGCGGUAAUACGGAGGGUGCGAGCGUUGUUCGGAAUCAUUGGGCGUAAAGCGAGUGUAGGCGGUUUGUUAAGUCAGGGGUGAAAGCCCUCCGCUCAACGGAGGAAGUGCCUUUGAUACUGGCAGACUUGAGUACGGGAGAGGGUAGUGGAAUUCCCAGUGUAGAGGUGAAAUUCGUAGAUAUUGGGAGGAACACCGGUGGCGAAGGCGGCUACCUGGACCGAUACUGACGCUGAGACUCGAAAGCGUGGGGAGCAAACAGGAUUAGAUACCCCUGUAGUCC